AUGUCGCCGUCGCCGCCUCCACCAUCGCCGCCGCAGCCACUACCGCCUAGGCUGCCGCCGCCUGGCUGUCAUAGGAGUGCUGCCGUCGCCUGGAUCUACUGCCCCCUCGCCGACGGCGUCGUCAACAUGUCAUCUGCGAGCUCCUGCUCUAGUCUGCGCUCUGGUCUGCGUAGCCGCUUUAUUGAGGUGCCAUUGGUCGGAUGCCCCGAUUGUGGCGACCCUGUCAAGUGCUACCGCUCUAGCACCGAUGAGCACGAUGGUUGGGUUUUCUACAAGUGCACCCACCAUAAUGUCACCUGUGAUUUCUGGCGCUAG
rnacentral:rRNA from 1 species